GAUGAAGAACGUAGCGAAAUGCGAUAAGUAAUGUGAAUUGCAGAAUUCAGUGAAUCAUCGAAUCUUUGAACGCACAUUGCGCCCGUCAGUAUUCUGGCGGGCAUGCCUGUUCGAGCGUCAUUACGCCCCUCAAGUCCCCUGUGGACUUGGUGUUGGGGAUCGGCGAGGCUGGUUUUCCAGCACAGCCGUCCCUUAAAUUAAUUGGCGGUGUCGCCGUGGCCCUCCUCUGCGCAGUAGUAAAACACUCGCAACAGGAGCCCGGCGCGGUCCACUGCCGUAAAACCCCCCAACUUUUUAUAGUUGACCUCGAAUCAGGUAGGACUACCCGCUGAACUUAAGCAUAUCAAUAAGCGGAGGA
rnacentral:misc_RNA from 1 species